AUUGAACGCUGGCGGCAGGCCUAACACAUGCAAGUCGAGCGAGCGUCGGACGGGUGCGUAAUGUAUGGGGACUGCCCGAUAGAGGGGGAUCACUACUGGAAACGGUAGCUAAUACCGCAUACUAUCGGAUAACCCAUAUGGGUUUAGCUAGUGGGUGAGGUAAUGGCUCAACUAGGCGACGAUCCCUAGCUGGUAUGAGAGGAUGAUCCGCCACACUGGGACUGGGAAACGGCCCAGACUCCUACGGAGGCAGCAGUGGGGAAUAUGGCACAAUGGGCGCAAGCCUGAUGCAGCCAUGCCGCGUGUAUGAAGAAGGCCCUAGGGUUGUAAAGUACUUUCAGUCGGGAGGCGUUACCGACAGAAGAAGCACCGGCUAACUCCGUGCCAGCAGCCGCGGUAAUAC
rnacentral:rRNA from 1 species